rnacentral:rRNA from 1 species
UCCAGGCCCUACGGGGUGCAGCAGGCGCGAAAACUUUACAAUGCUGGCAACAGCGAUAAGGGAACCUCGAGUGCCAGGUUACAAAUCUGGCUGUCGAGAUGCCUAAAAAGCAUUUCAUAGCAAGGGCCGGGCAAGACCGGUGCCAGCCGCCGCGGUAACACCGGCGGCUCGAGUGGUAACCGUUAUUAUUGGGUCUAAAGGGUCUGUAGCCGGCCGGAUAAGUCUCUUGAGAAAUCUGGCAGCUUAACUGUCAGGCUUUCAGGAGAUACUGUCUGGCUCGAGGCCGGGAGAGGUGAGAGGUACUUCAGGGGUAGGGGUGAAAUCUUGUAAUCCUUGAAGGACCACCAGUGGCGAAGGCGUCUCACCAGAACGGACCUGACGGCAAGGGACGAAAGCUAGGGGCACGAACCGGAUUAGAUACCCGGGUAGUCCUAGCCGUAAACGAUACUCGCUAGGUGUCGGCCACGGUGCGACCGUUGUCGGUGCCGUAGGGAAGCCGUGAAGCGAGCCACCUGGGAAGUACGGCCGCAAGGCUGAAACUUAAAGGAAUUGGCGGGGGAGCACCACAACGGGUGGAGCUUGCGGUUUAAUUGGAUUCAACGCCGGG